rnacentral:rRNA from 1 species
AGAGUUUGAUCCUGGCUCAGGAUGAACGCUGGCGGCGUGCUAAUACAUGCAAGUCGAGCGAACCACUUCGGUGGUGAGCGGCGAACGGGUGAGUAACACGUAGGUGAUCUGCCCAUCAGACGGGGACAACGAUUGGAAACGAUCGCUAAUACCGGAUAGGACGAAAGUUUAAAGGUGCUUCUGGCACCGCUGAUGGAUGAGCCUGCGGCGCAUUAGCUAGUUGGUAGGGUAAAGGCCUACCAAGGCGACGAUGCGUAGCCGACCUGAGAGGGUGAACGGCCACACUGGGACUGAGACACGGCCCAGACUCCUACGGGAGGCAGCAGUAGGGAAUCUUCGACAAUGGGCGAAAGCCUGACCGAGCAACGCCGCGUGAAUGAUGAAGGCCUUCGGGUUGUAAAAUUCUGUUAUAAGGGAAGAACGACUUUAGUAGGAAAUGGCUAGAGUGUGACGGUACCUUAUGAGAAAGCCACGGCUAACUACGUGCCAGCAGCCGCGGUAAUACGUAGGUGGCGAGCGUUAUCCGGAAUUAUUGGGCGUAAAGAGCGCGCAGGUGGUUGAUUAAGUCUGAUGUGAAAGCCCACGGCUUAACCGUGGAGGGUCAUUGGAAACUGGUCGACUUGAGUGCAGAAGAGGGAAGUGGAAUUCCAUGUGUAGCGGUGAAAUGCGUAGAGAUAUGGAGGAACACCAGUGGCGAAGGCGGCUUCCUGGUCUGUAACUGACACUGAGGCGCGAAAGCGUGGGGAGCAAACAGGAUUAGAUACCCUGGUAGUCCACGCCGUAAACGAUGAGUGCUAAGUGUUGGGGGUCGAACCUCAGUGCUGAAGUUAACGCAUUAAGCACUCCGCCUGGGGAGUACGGUCGCAAGACUGAAACUCAAAUGAAUUGACGG